rnacentral:rRNA from 1 species
CCUACGGGUGGCAGCAGUGAGGAAUAUUGGUCAAUGGGCGUAAGCCUGAACCAGCCAAGUCGCGUGAGGGAUGAAGGUUCUAUGGAUCGUAAACCUCUUUUGUAGGGGAAUAAAGGGCGGGACGUGUCCCGGUUUGGAUGUACCUUAGGAAUAAGGAUCGGCUAAAUCCGUGCCAACAGACGCGGUAAUACGGGGGAUUCGAACGUUAACCGGAUUUAUUGGGGUUAAAGGGUGCGUAGGCGGGCUUUUAAGUCAGCGGGGAAAAUCUGGGGCUCAAACACAGACUUGCCGUUGAAACUGGGAGGCUUGAGUAUGUGUGAGGCAGGCGGAAUGCGUGGUGUAGCGGUGAAAUGCUUAGAUAUCACGCAGAACCCCGAUUGCGAAGGCAGCCUGCCAAGCCACGACUGACGCUGAUGCACGAAAGCGUGGGGAUCGAACAGGAUUAGAUACCCCUGUAGUC